UUAAGAAGUUGGAGUCACCAUAUACCCACGGACGAGAGUAAUGGAAAGUUCUAGCGAGGAGCAACAGCGGUGAACUUUCUACAAAAACGGGCAAUUUGAAGUUCUAUGCAGGGUUCUACGGAAAGAACAGUAUGUCCGCAGUGAUUAUGUUCGUGAUACUUUCCCUCAUAGUUCAACGGCUACCUUCAGUUGAGGGAACAGAGGGAGCGAUGGCGGUAACGGAAAAGGUCACGUCUUCCUACAAAAGAACUGUCCGUCCAGUCAAGAACUACUCAACAGCAGUGAACACCACGUUUGGAUUAUCUAUUCGACAAAUCAGAGACGUGGAUGAGAUUGGCCAACGAGUUAUAGUUUUUACCUGGGUGAGAAUG